rnacentral:rRNA from 1 species
GGGCCGUGCCGGCGUCGGUGUCUCCGCGCGACCCGACGCACUUCCUCCCGCCCUCAGGACGCCGCAGCCGGUCGGGUAGCUGCGCGAGUCGGCCAUAAGGACGAGCAACGGAAGGUGGCCGGUGGCGUUCCCUCGGGUUCGCCGCCGGUCGUUAUCCAGCUCGCCCGUGGCGCGACACCCGACCGAGGUCGAAGGUCCACGCUAGGACCGUGCCGUCCCCUCCCCCGUGGUCGAGCGGGAGCGCCUGCAGGCGGAUUCCCGGUCGGUCGUCUCCACUCUCCGAGUGGGCGGCCGUCGGGCGACGCUGUUGGUGGAGUUCUUCCCGCGCGGGGUCAGGCGGCUCGCGGCGAGUAGGUCGGUCACCCACCCGACCCGUCUUGAAACACGGACCAAGGAGUCUAACAUGUGCGCGAGUCACGGGGUCUUGCUUAGGCCCAGAGGCGCAAUGAAAGUGAAGGCCGGUCCCGAGAUCGGCCGAGUUGGGACUCUCC